rnacentral:rRNA from 1 species
AUGAUACUCGUGACAACUAGAAUACCAUCUGUUGCCAAAAAGAGAGGUACAACUGGACCGAUUAACUUAGAUGGUUUGAAAAAUGGUGAUUUCUGGCAAAUGUUCAAAGCGUGUGCAUUUGGUGAUGAGAACUAUGAAGAGCAAGUUAGUCUGGGUGAGCUUGGACGGCAGAUAGCAAAAAGGUUACAGGGAAACCCAUUAGCUGCGGAAACUGCAGGGACACUGUUAAGAGAGCAUCUUACCAUUGAUCACUGGAAUAAUAUUUUGAAGAACGAAGAUUGGAAAUCUCUACAACUCAGUAGUGGUAUCAUGUCUGCUUUGAAGCUUUGCUAUGAUCAGCUGCCCUACAAUUUACAGCAAUGCUUCUCAUAUUGCUCUAUAUUCCCCUACGGUUAUCAUUUUCUUGCUGAGGAGCUGGUACGUAUGUGGAUUUCACAGGGAUUUGUGAAGUGUAACCAUUCAAGUAUGAUACAGGAAGAAGGGCGGCGCUAUCUGUGUGACUUGGUAAACCUGGGUUUCUUCAAGCAAGUUGAAAGAAAAGAACUCCCUUCUGGCCAUACUCAAACUUUCUAUGCUAUGUCUAUUCUUAUGCAUGAUUUGGCUAGGGUAGUUUCAAAAACUGAGUGUGCAGCUAUGGAUGGUCUGCAGUACAAUGACAUGCUACCAACUAUACAUCAUUUAUCUAUAGUAAAGGAUGGUCAGACUGGGAAUAUACUUGGUAGUGAGAACUUUGAAGAAAACAUACAGAGCAUAUUUAUAUCAGUGGCAAAAUUGAGGACAUUGGUUUUGAUUGGGCAGUAUGAAUCUUCUUUCUUCGAAGAAGUAUUCCGAAAGGCAUAUAAUUUGCGUGUAUUGCAAAUUUUUGCAACAUCUGUUGAUUUCCAUUCAUUCCGGUAUAGUUUGGUGAAUCUUAUACAUCUUAGAUAUCUAAAACUCGAUGGUCAUGGUGAGCAGGGGAGCUGCUCGCCUCAAGUUCACUUGUAUGAUAAUUCUGCUGUUCGGCAUAAUGCUACUUUCCUUGCCUUGCAGAAUGUGUGUCUAGAGAAUUGCAGAGAAAAGCAAGCGGUUCUAUCUCUGGAAAACCUUCCAUUCCUUACAACAUUGAAGUUAACCAACAUGUGGGGAGUAAGAGAAGUACUGAUUCCGUCAGUGGAGGAGCUAGUUUUAGUUAACAUGUCCGGGUUGGAGAGAUGUUCCUGCACUUCCUUGGGGGAUGGGGUCUCUAGUUUAAGGGUACUGGAGAUCCGGAAGUGCAGUGCACUUAGGGUGUUUGAUCUGUUCGAGAAAACUCACAGCUCGGAAACUCAGCUGAAGCCAUUGAAUGCUCUACAGCUGCAUUCCUGCACAUCUCUGGAAGAUUUGAGAAUUGAAGACUGUGGAGGGAUCAUCGCAAUAGAGGGCCUUCACCUCGUGAAACUCAGGCAUUUGAAUGUAUGCAAAACAUCUAUUUUUCGUGGUAUAUCAGGGAAGGGCUAUCACCUAGGAUCUCAACUGGAUCUAUUUAUAAUUAGUGACUUGUCCCUCCUUACCACAUCAAUCUGCAAGGGGCUCACCUGUCUCCAGAGCCUAAUAAUUCAAAAUUUGAAGUGCAAGGCCACGAGACUAACAGAUGAUCAAGAGAGCGCGCUUCUGCUCCACAAGUCCUUGCAAGAGCUAGUGUUUGGCGAUUGUGAGUACCUCGUGCAUCUUCCUGCAGGACUGCACAGCCUUCCUGCCCUCAAGAUAUUGAAAAUCAGAAGCUGUAGCAGCAUAUUAAGGCUUAUGAAGGAGGAACUCCCACCUUCGCUGGUGGAACUGGAAAUCGACUAUUGCAGCGUUGAGUUGGCAAAACAAUGCAGAUUGCUAGCAACAAGCAAGCUAAAUGUCAUAAUUUAUGAGGACUAUGACCAAGAAGAAACCGAUACUUCCAGCAACUAG